GACGAACGCUGGCGGCGCGCCUAACACAUGCAAGUCGAACGAGCAAGAGAAAGCUUGCUUUCUCGAGCGAGUGGCGAACGGGUGAGUAACGCGUGAGGAACCUGCCUCAAAGAGGGGGACAACAGUUGGAAACGACUGCUAAUACCGCAUAAGCCCACGGGUCGGCAUCGACCAGAGGGAAAAGGAGCAAUCCGCUUUGAGAUGGCCUCGCGUCCGAUUAGCUGGUUGGUGAGGUAAUGGCCCACCAAGGCGACGAUCGGUAGCCGGACUGAGAGGUUGAACGGCCACAUUGGGACUGAGACACGGCCCAGACUCCUACGGGAGGCAGCAGUGGGGAAUAUUGCACAAUGGGGGAAACCCUGAUGCAGCGACGCCGCGUGGAGGAAGAAGGUCUUCGGAUUGUAAACUCCUGUUGUUGGGGAAGAUAAUGACGGUACC
rnacentral:rRNA from 1 species